rnacentral:snoRNA from 1 species
AAGGGAACCAGGUUUGCUAAAGUAAUUGUGGUGAUAGGCAUAUAUUAGUCUCAGAAGCUACUGAGGUGGCCCGUUUUACCUCUUCUUAUAUAGUA